AAUCCAUGGUGAGGGCAGUCAGGUUUAUACUCUUUAAAACGCUCUCAGGCUUCAUAGAAAGGCUCAGCCGGUCCUUGCUGAAAACUUGAGAUCUUGGUUCUCAGUAA
rfam:Eutrema salsugineum unplaced genomic scaffold scaffold_6, whole genome shotgun sequence.